UCCAAGUUGUAUAUCUAUGACUCCAUGAUUCAAUAAACAAUUACAAAUCUGGAUCCAUCAUAUUUCAAACUAUCAGAAGAAUUUACUGCAACAGCCUACAUUUAUACAAUUUCCUGGACAUUGUUAAAUAUCUCAAGAUUCUUCACCAGAUAUAAUCGGAUGAAAGAAGUGAUAUGAAUUCAAGAGAGGCACUUACACUUGGUUGGAACGGAAUUUUGUUUUCCUCUUUUCCUAUUUCAAACAUGAUGUGUUUUCUCGGGCGGUCAGGUGACGAAGGAGCAGCGCUCGAAAGCUUUCAGUGUGGUUUCAAAUAAACCUGUUGGACUAUAACCUGGUGUCGUGUGACGUCUGACUAUUUCAAACAUGAUUGCGGGACUGUGCGGAGCAAGUGAAAAGCGAUUGCUGAAGGUCAACAUCAGCUUGGGUGGAGAACCAUGCCUUGAGGAAUUCCCGUGCGUGCCUAUGUUUUGUUCAGAUUACUAUGAUUUCCUUGUCUGAACUAAACUGAUGACCAUCAUUGUCUGGUCAACUUCUCUGUUUCAGAACAAUCUGUAGCUCAUCCCAAGAUCUGGACAAGACACCAUUGACAUCAAAUGUUCCAUUACUCUGCUGGAAAUUUCCAUGAUUCUAAGUAGAAUGCAGCCAGCAACUGUUAAGUCACUAAUUGUCUAAUUCACUAAUUCACUAAUGUGGAGGUGGUAGGAAAUACCGAUGCUGGAGAAUCUGAGAUAACAAGGUGUAGAGCUGGAUGAACACAGCAGGCCAGGCAGCAUCAGAGGAGCAAGAAAGCAGAUGUUUCAGCUCUGGACCCUUCUUCAGAAAAAUGGAAAUGGAUUGAAAAUGAAAAUGAGCUGGUCUUUAUCAUGGAAAGAAACUGCUUCACUGUUUACUGAAGUCAGCCCAUCAUCUUUCAAAUAAAAAUUCAGUUCAGCUGCUAAGGGACUUUUAUGUAAUAUGUUGGGUUAUGUUAUCACAUACAUUUUGGACAGUACAGAGACAUCUAUUGAACGUAAAAUAUCAAAUAUUUGAAGUAUUAAUAGCUUGGUUUUUCUUUAUCUUUAUUCACCUCUACUAUCAAAACACUAAAAUUAAAUUGAAUACUUGACUCUCACUUACAAGAAAGGUACAAUGAUCAUUGUGUGAUUUUAAUAUGCAAACAGA